UGGGGAAUAUUGCACAAUGGGGGAAACCCUGAUGCAGCGACGCCGCGUGGAGGAAGAAGGCCCUCGGGUUGUAAACUCCUGUCUUCGGGGACGAUAAUGACGGUACCCGAGGAGGAAGCCACGGCUAACUACGUGCCAGCAGCCGCGGUAAAACGUAGGUGGCAAGCGUUGUCCGGAAUUACUGGGUGUAAAGGGAGCGCAGGCGGAGCGGCAAGUUGGAGGUGAAAACCACGGGCUCAACCCGUGAACUGCCUUCAAAACUGCCGGUCUUGAGUGGUGUAGAGGUAAGCGGAAUUCCCGGUGUAGCGGUGGAAUGCGUAGAUAUCGGGAGGAACACCAGUGGCGAAGGCGGCUUACUGGGCACUAACUGACGCUGAGGCUCGAAAGCAUGGGUAGCAAACAGG
rnacentral:rRNA from 1 species